rnacentral:ncRNA from 2 species
CUCUUAUCCAGAGAGGCGGAGGGACUGGCCCUGCGAUGCCUCAGCAACAGACUGUAAAGAACUGUGCUAAUUCCAGAAGCGUAAAGCUUGAAGAUAAGAA